AGCGGGAAUGCUGAGGGCAGCGAGUGCUCCCGAUGUCCUGAAGGGACUUUCUCCAGAGGAGGGAAUGAGAACUGCCAGCCUUGGACCAAGUAGGGAUCCCUUUCUGGGGAAAAAUCCCUUUUAUGGGGGGGAGAAGUCCCUUUUUUGGGGGAAAAAAGUCCUUUUAGGGGAAAAAAGUCCCCUUUUGGGGGGAAAAGAAUUCUUUUUGGGGGGGAAAGAAUCCUUUUUGGGGAAAAAAUCCUUUCUGGAGGAAAAAGUCCUUUUUUUGAGGAAAAAAUCCCCUUUUAUGUGAAAAAAAAUCCCUUUUUAGGGGCAAUGUGCUCAGAGCGGCUCUGGAGGUUUAAUUUUUCCAGGAAAAGCCCAAAUCUGGAGAAAUAAAUCAGAAUAAACCCAGAUUUAAGUUCCCCUG
rnacentral:lncRNA from 1 species